ensembl:lncRNA
GUGUGUGUGUGGUUAGAGCACGUCGCGAGGCUGUUGUAGGGUACAGGGACCAUCCUCACCUGCAGGCAUCAGACUGCCAUGGCACGUGGUGUUUCUCGAAUGCUCCUUGUUUGUUGCAGUCAUCAGCUAGGAGAGUAGCUGGGCAAAAUGCAGGUUUCGUUUGUCUCUCAAGUGCAAAACAAAGGAGUAUUUUGUGUGUGUCGCUCUUUAUGUGAUUUAAUUAGCUCUUAUCAUUUCUCAGGCACAGCAGGUGUUCAAGGUAAACUUAACAUAAAAACACAUAGCUCACAAAAUAUCCAUUAUUAUCUAUAGAAGACAAACUGUAUUUACAGCAGCUGAGUAACAAAAAGGCACAUAGCAAUAGAUUGUGUUUGUUUAGCCUAUAGCCUAUUUAGUAGCCUCUACUGGGACUUCCAUAGUUAGGACUGCGUGACCAUUUCUGUUACCGUUUUUUGUCUUUUUUUAGUAUACUUGAUAUAAGGCUAUAACAGUUCAUUUUCUCCAGGUUGUAGUGAUAUUUUCCUCUCCAUGCUGCAGUUGUAUUUAUUAUUAUUAUUAUUAUUAUUGUUAUUGUUAUUAUUUUAGUUUGGAGAUCUGGUGCCAUUUAUAUCCAGUUCAGAUUAGGUUCUGUGCAUUUGACUUGCAUUAAUACAAAUUCAAAUUACAAGAAUCAUUUUGAAGACUUUCGCAGUUAGAAACUCCUUCUUGUAUGGCUUUUUGAGUUCUUAGAAAACAUAGUUUAAACAGCAGAAGUAUGCAAGUUUGACCAUGCCAAGACAUUUUAUGUUAACAAGCUUUUAAAAUGUUACUCAUUAUCUUUAUCUUGCCACAAAUAAAUUAAAUACUUUGCAUGUUGCAGGGGUUUAUGGAAUACUGUCAAAAUGAUGAGUUGUUUGAUGAAAUUUAUAAACAUUUAUUCAAGUAAGUCUCACUGUAACUUUUAGAUACUUUCCUUUUAUUUAAGGAAUUGGACCAUAUGUCAUUUUAAAUCUUGUUACAGUUUUAAGGCCUCUUGGUAUGUCCUGCAGCCCUCAUUGGUUUUCUGAUUAUUUUGUUGUAGGGGAACUUUGUCAAGACUACCUCUAAGAAACUUAGGCCAAUCUCAAGGCUUAUUGCCAUUAUCUCAUGGAGGAGAAGCGGUUAUGCGUGAAAUACUGUUUGUUCACACCGGUAGAUACUAUUAACCUUAAAUCAUGAUUAAGCACAGAAAUGAAUGAGUUAUUCAGAAGAACAUGCUUAAGCAUUUGAAAGGCUGGAGACAACAGAAUGAUGAAUAGCAUCGUGAUUCUGUGAGUGCUAAGUUGAACGUUUAUUGUCACCAGCUAAUGGCUGACACUGCUAACAAUUUAUGGCUGACCACUGGGAAAGCACAACUGGAGAAGGAGCCAAAUGACGUAAAACAAGGUACUUGUGAACACUAGCACUCCAUCAAUGAACCCAGACUGACCAAUAAACAAAACUAAUGAACGUAUCCCUUCAACACAAAGUGAUACUGUGUGAUGCUUAUACAAAGGAGGUAAGAAUUUUGACGACAUGUGAUCUUGUUAUAUGCCAGCAGUUAUAACAGAAGCCUCUGUGUGUGUCCAACAGUGGGACACGGCAUUCAGUGUGAUCCUCUGGCUUUGCUAAGUUACCACAGCUUUGAAUGUUUCUUGGAAAAGUAAAUACCCAUUCAAACAUGGAUGCAAGAAGAAAUAAUACCCAAACCUUUGGAACUGUGCUUAAUGUGACAUCACUACAAGAAAAAACACAGACCACUGAUG